UCAAGAAACUUCCACAAUGGGCGAAAGCCUGAUGGAGCGACGUCGCGUGAUGGACGAAGUGCUUCGGCACGUAAACAUCUUUUAUGUGGGAUGAAAUUAUUGACAGUACCACAUGAAUAAGGGGCUCCUAACUCUGUGCCAGCAGGAGCGGUAAUACAGAGGCCCCAAGCGUUAUCCGGAAUCACUGGGCGUAAAGGGUGUCGAGGCGGUUGUAUUAGUCGUUCGUAAAAUCUACGAGCUUAACUUGUAGGCGGCGAACGAAACGGUACGACUUGAGGUUUGGAGAGGUGCGUGGAACUCACGGUGUAGGGGUGAAAUCCGUUGAUAUCGUGGGGAACACCAAAGGCGAAGGCAGCGCACUGGCCAAAAUCUGACGCUCACACACGAAAGCUAGGGUAGCGAAGAGGAUUAGAUACCCACGUAUUCCCUGAGCGGGCUGGCAAGGCGCAU
rnacentral:rRNA from 1 species